UUUUCCCGAAUCACGACAGUAUACCAGUAGAAAACUGCCACGUUACCCAGGAAGAGAGGGAGCACUCAACAAAAUCUGCCUCCCUACUGUGAGGUACAAAAAGCAAAACGGACUCCACAGCAGGGCUAUCACCUUGCCUCUGUCUACAAAGAAGUGGCUGCUAUUUUCCUUUGAAAGACUAAUUGGAGCAUAAUUGUUUGAUAUCUCUUGAAGUUAGAAAUAUCAGAGACCGAGGGCAGGAAUUACAGUUUUGCAGAUGAUACAAAACUGGGAGGAGUGGCUGAUACCUCGGAGGGUUGUGCUGCCAUUCAGAGGGACCUCAACAGGUAUACUACCGGAUGGCCCAGCAUUGCUUUUGACAUCUGCAGAAAGAAAAGGAUGUACCAAAAGGGAAGGAAAUCUCAUCUUCACAGAGACCAACAGACCUACUACAGACACUGUUAAAAUCCAUUUCCUGACUGCCACUCAAGUAGCUCAAACAACUAUGUUAUGUAUACACUGAGCUGUAUAAAUAGAACAGAUAUGUUUUCAAAAGUCAGUUAUCAAAGCUUUUGGUAUUAUCAAGGUAGUGUAUUUUAUUUUGUUUUUCUAUCCCUUCUUUCUGUUUUAAAGAAAAUGCUAUUUACUGUCUAACCCUCCAAAGCAAACUUUUGAGUACAUGCAUUAAAGGUUCCUUAUUGAUACACUUGUCAAUAAGAAAUUGAAUCAUAGGCUUACUUAGAUGACACGGAAAUUCUAAUUUCAGGUUUACAAACUUCAGAGCUAAGAAAUCACAGAAUUUUACAAACUGAUCACCUAAAAAUGUGAUGACAAUGGCAAUUUCGUACUUUCUGAUUCAUUAAAGUUCUGAAAGUCUUUGUAUAAUCUGAUGAUCUUACAGACUCAGAUAAAUUGUAUCUAUUCACAUUACAUUCUAAAUAAGGAAAAAAAUGUUGAUUACUUGCUUAAUGUCUACUCUUUUGUGAUGGCAAAAUCUAUUCCACUCCAGAUUAAAAGCACUUUUAUACCUGCCAGUACACUGUUUCACACAGCCCAAAUUAAUAUCUUUCAUGUCUUUGCUAGAAAUGCUGAGACAUCCGGAUUCCCUCAUUUUAUUUCAAACAUCCAGGAUUAAGUUAUCUUUGGGGUUUGCAGGAAGACAAAACUUACACUGCUUUUUGGGGCCAGGCCAUUCUUUCCCUUCAGAUUAAAGAACAUUUACAUUUUGUAUUAUCGCUUGUUUGCCUGCUCUGUUUUUAAAUUCCAGUCUGCUUUAGAAGUGGAAAUAAAAUCAAUGUCUAACAUGCCUCUGCCACUAAAGUACAAUCUAAGAGCCUAAAGCUUUUAUCCUUGGUAACAUAAAAAUGAUAGCUUUAAAGUCAUAUAGACAGAGGCACCUAAGGGCCAAGUUAAUCACACCUAAUUUUAGACAGACAAAGGUAUACACGAGCCCAUUUAGCAGCUUUCCAAAAGGGGGCUCCCUGAAAGCAGAAGAUGCUUCUCCUCUUUCUUUUCCUUCCAGCACUACCAUCGAAGGAAAAGCAAGCCCUGCAAGCUGUCUAGUGGAAAGGAGGUACGGGAAGUGCUAUCUUUUCCUUUUUUUGUAAAAACAAGCUGCUAGAUCAGUUGAAGCUGUAGUAUGUAACUCCAUGCUAGUCUAAGAUAGGUCUUAGAUUUUCCUCAAGUUUCUCUUUUAUCAUCUUAAGCAAGCAAUUAAUCUCUUUGGGGUCAGGUGUUACUUUCGAUAUUGAGCUUAAUACUAUAACCUAAAAUCUGCUGGGUGUUUUCUGGGUUAGUAUACUCUGCUCAGCAGGAGGAUACAUUAUGAAGAAACUGUGGUGGGGAAUGGUGUGGAGGGAGAGGAACUCAUUUUAAAACAGAAACUUCCAUAUACAACAUGUAACAAAACCAAAAGAAAGAGAAAAGAAAAGCAAAGAAUUCAAAAUGCCCUGAGUACAUGAAAUGAAAAAUGCAGGAAAAACUAAAAGUAACAUUAACAAAAAACAGGUAAAAAAAAUGUAAUAGGAAUAUUCAGUAUCUUUUUUUUUUUCUUAAACAGCAUCUUGAAAUGAUACAUAAAUGUUAUAUUUUGUAAUCAAGUAGUGAGGAAAAAAGCUGGAGAACACCAAAGUUGUAACUUUACCAGCCUGCCUUUCACUAAUCAGGGUAUCAUUUCUCUAAUGUUUUCCCUAACCUUAAAAACCUCAGUACUUGUCUGCUGAGGUAAUAAAACGCUUUCAGUAAUGCAAAAUACAUAAUUGGUUUCUCCUAGAAUAGUGAUCUUUGGUAGUAUUAACAACCUGCCCUUAAGUAGUGUAGUUGUUUUAGCACUCAGAUAUAGUAAGGGGGGGGGGACAAAAAACAAUAACAAAACAUAAUUUCUAUCAACCUCACCAAUAAGAGCUUUUUAUCACCUGGAAUUUGAAUCUUGUGAUUCAGCAGUUUGAAAUUUUUGCAUGUCAAUUCACUACCAUGAUCCAGCCUGCUGAUGAACUAGAAUCUGCAACACAGAAUCAAUACUCUUACAAGCAAUAUUGUGUGCUAAUUGUUUUCACUGAGAAUUAGUUUCCCACAUUUUUAACAGUAUGGUCUCAAAAUAAUUAACAUACAUUUCAAAAGAAGCAUGAAAAAGCUGUAUCUCUCUAUCCAAAAAACAACAGUGAUGAUUUUAAAAGUUCCCCUAGGCUUCUCAGAAUUACCACUGAGACCGAAAUACACAUGGUCAGUUCUUUUUAUUUUCUAAGUUAAAUGAGAUGCAGUCAGCUAGGAAUAAAGGGUAAAAGACUAGAAAGCAUUUCCUGAAUUAUCACAGAAAUGGCUCAUAUAUUUUUAAUUCAUAUGUUGAUGAAGAUAUUUCAUUAUCCUUAAAAAAAAUACUACUUAAUUCCCAAGACCAGAAGUAAUACAGAGUUUCUGAGUCCAGCUGUACAUUCUAACCAUAUCCCAGCCCCAACAGGUAUGAAGACCUGGAAAGCAAAACAACUUUACUCCCCCUCUUCCCCACUUCUAUGCACUGGUUAGCACCGAAAGGAAACACAUAUGCCAGCUGAAUGGAAGUCCUAACGCUUUGCUAUAGAUCCAGAGCUGGAUUAGCUUGUGACUGGAAGCAAAGCUAUACCAUAGCAGGUAAAUCUGAACAUCAUCUCUGUGUCUCAGUUUUUCAUCUGUAGAGAGGUUAGUGAGAUCUUCAUCUUAUGAAAGCAUUGUGGAAAUCUUUAUUUGUGAAUCUGUUACAUUCUCUAGUGACAUAAUGCCACAGAAAACAUCAGAGAGAUGUCAAGAGUGUAUGUUAAAUAAAACAUGAGAAUUCAUACUUAACAGUGAAGAAUACACCUACUGUUGAAUAGCUGCUCAUUAAGAAGGCACUUUUUAAUGAGGGGACAGGGUUCCACUGGAAAAAGAAAUGGCAUAUACCCAUAUGAUUAAAGACUGUAUCAUAAGAGAUGUAAGGGAUUGAUUUUUCCUACCUUUGAGUGCUUGACUUUAUAGCCUAAUAUGUUAAUUUGCACAUUUUAUGUGUCUGUAUGAAUGUAUAAUUAUCCAUGGAAUGUAUCAGUUGUAUUAAAGUACAGGGUAAUCCACAACAAAACUACGUGAAUAUACAAGAGGAGGUGGUUAAAUGCCCUGAUUAAAAAGUCUGGACAUUU